rnacentral:rRNA from 2 species
ACCACUUCGGUGGGGAUUAGUGGCGAACGGGUGAGUAACACGUGGGCAAUCUGCCCUGCACUCUGGGACAAGCCCUGGAAACGGGGUCUAAUACCGGAUACUGACCCUCACGGGCAUCUGUGAGGUUCGAAAGCUCCGGCGGUGCAGGAUGAGCCCGCGGCCUAUCAGCUUGUUGGUGAGGUAAUGGCUCACCAAGGCGACGACGGGUAGCCGGCCUGAGAGGGCGACCGGCCACACUGGGACUGAGACACGGCCCAGACUCCUACGGGAGGCAGCAGUGGGGAAUAUUGCACAAUGGGCGAAAGCCUGAUGCAGCGACGCCGCGUGAGGGAUGACGGCCUUCGGGUUGUAAACCUCUUUCAGCAGGGAAGAAGCGAAAGUGACGGUACCUGCAGAAGAAGCGCCGGCUAACUACGUGCCAGCAGCCGCGGUAAUACGUAGGGCGCGAGCGUUGUCCGGAAUUAUUGGGCGUAAAGAGCUCGUAGGCGGCUUGUCGCGUCGGUUGUGAAAGCCCGGGGCUUAACCCCGGGUCUGCAGUCGAUACGGGCAGGCUAGAGUUCGGUAGGGGAGAUCGGAAUUCCUGGUGUAGCGGUGAAAUGCGCAGAUAUCAGGAGGAACACCGGUGGCGAAGGCGGAUCUCUGGGCCGAUACUGACGCUGAGGAGCGAAAGCGUGGGGAGCGAACAGGAUUAGAUACCCUGGUAGUCCACGCCGUAAACGGUGGGCACUAGGUGUGGGCAACAUUCCACGUUGUCCGUGCCGCAGCUAACGCAUUAAGUGCCCCGCCUG